AGUGAACGUUGGCGGCGUGGAUUAGGCAUGCAAGUCGAGCGAGAGCCGUAGCAAUACGGGGACAGCGGCGAAAGGGACAGUAAUGUGUAGGUACCUACCCCGAGGUCUGGGAUAGCUGCGGGAAACUGCAGGUAAUACCGGACAAUGUCUUCGGACCAAAGGUGUGAUUCCACCUUGGGAGGGGCCUGCAUCCUAUUGGCUAGUUGGCGGGGUAAUGGCCCACCAAGGCAACGAUGGGUAGCGGGUGUGAGAGCACGACCCGCGUCAUUGGGACUGAGAUACUGCCCAGACACCUACGGGUGGCUGCAGUCGAGGAUCUUCGGCAAUAGGCGAAAGCCUGACCGAACGACGCCGCGUGCGGGAUGAAGGCCUUCGGGUUGUAAACCGCUGUCGUAGAGGAGGAAAUGCAGGGGGGUUCUCCCUUCUGUUUGUCCUAUUCUAGGAGGAAGGACGGGCUAAGUUCGUGCCAGCCGCCGCUGUAA
rnacentral:rRNA from 1 species